AUGCCACGCGAGGGAGUAUCGCCGUGCUCGCGCGAUAACGACUCACGUAGGCAGUAUUGGCGUUAAAUUAUUUUCCUGUCGAUAGUUUAUUCGAUUGCCAAGAUGAUAGACGAGACAACGGCGCGGUUGUAUGCACGCCGUGCGCAUGGGAAUGGCAAGAUUUUAUACGUGCCAAUAACUGCUUUGUACAAAUGAUGAAGGCAGAAGCAAUCAUGGAAUCGAAGUAUGUUCUCCUCCUCCGGAGGCCUGGAAACGUCAUUCUCUGUCGAUCGACUGUAGUAAGCCGCCGGUGAAAGUGAGCACAAACGUUCACUUCGCGGGUCACCGAUUCUCGGGUGUCCUAUCAAUGUAUUAAUUGCGAGUUACAAUGUAAAAAGAGUAACAAUGUAUUAUUACAUAGCUUUGUAAUUAUAGAUCAGUACUUCGUUAAAGGCGUUUCACAUUAACUUAAAAAUUUCAUUUCACAUAAUAAAAAUUCAAAACUUUUAAAUCU